rnacentral:rRNA from 1 species
UACGGAGGAUGCGAGCGUUAUCCGGAUUUAUUGGGUUUAAAGGGAGCGUAGGCGGGUUGUUAAGUCAGUUGUGAAAGUUUGCGGCUCAACCGUAAAAUUGCAGUUGAUACUGGCAUCCUUGAGUACAGUAGAGGUAGGCGGAAUUCGUGGUGUAGCGGUGAAAUGCUUAGAUAUCACGAAGAACUCCGAUUGCGAAGGCAGCCUGCUGGACUGUAACUGACGCUGAUGCUCG